CCUACGGGAGGCAGCAGUGGGGAAUAUUGCACAAUGGGGGAAACCCUGAUGCAGCGACGCCGCGUGGAGGAAGAAGGUUUUCGGAUUGUAAACUCCUGUCGUUAGGGACGAUAAUGACGGUACCUAACAAGAAAGCACCGGCUAACUACGUGCCAGCAGCCGCGGUAAU
rnacentral:rRNA from 1 species